rnacentral:rRNA from 1 species
GACGAACGCUGGCGGCGUGCCUAAUACAUGCAAGUCGAACGCACUCUCGUUUAGAUUGAAGGAGCUUGCUCCUGAUUGAUAAACAUUUGAGUGAGUGGCGGACGGGUGAGUAACACGUGGGUAACCUGCCCUAAAGUGGGGGAUAACAUUUGGAAACAGAUGCUAAUACCGCAUAAAACCUAAACACCGCAUGGUGUAGGGUUGAAAGAUGGUUUCGGCUAUCACUUUAGGAUGGACCCGCGGUGCAUUAGUUAGUUGGUGAGGUAAAGGCUCACCAAGACCGUGAUGCAUAGCCGACCUGAGAGGGUAAUCGGCCACACUGGGACUGAGACACGGCCCAGACUCCUACGGGAGGCAGCAGUAGGGAAUCUUCCACAAUGGACGAAAGUCUGAUGGAGCAGCGCCGCGUGAGUGAAGAAGGUUUUCGGAAUCGUAAAACUCUGUUGUUGGGAGAAGAAUGUAUCUGGUAGUAACUGAUCAGGUAGUGACGGU